GAUUUCCUGGGGCCAGGUGUCAUCGAGAGCUUCUCUGCAGGGAGGAGGAUGCUCGUGCCGAGGGCAAGGGCACCGGGCGACUUAGCGCUUCACUGACCCCUGCAGUCGGCCUGAGCUCAGCGUCCACACCGAAGACCUGAGGCUUUUUCCCCGAGCUGACGGCACCGGCAGCACCAGGCUAGCGUGGCGGUCAAGGGCUUGGGCUCUGGGUUGGAGUUCAGACUUGGCUGCUUCUGAUGGUGGGUCUCCAGGGAGUUUCCUGAACUUGAAGCCCAUCUCUCCCAUGUCUGGAGGGACUCCCAGCCCCCACCUGUCGGUAGUGCCUGGCACAGAGUCAGGCACACACUGAGCCCUGACCCCUGCGACUGCUGCGUUGACAAACCUGGUGCCUAGAAGCUGCUCCUGUGCACCCUCAGGCUCCUGGAGGGCACAGGGGUGGGCAGGGCACCCAUCCCCCUCCGCACCAUUAGCCACAGACGCGGGCUCUGGAGGAGCCAAGCACAUGCGGCCUGUGCCCCCUUCUCGUCCUUGGGUGAUGGGCUGCCCGUUGUGCUUCUGGACGAGGGAGGGGAGGCAGGAUGUUCCCUGGAAGGUGGGGCUGCCAUGGUGGCCUGGCCUGGGCUUCUGGAGCCUUCCUGCCUCAGGAGAUCCAGUUGUCCUAACCCACAGUCAGCAAUCUGUGGCCUGGGCACAGCUAAUUGGGUGUGUCCGUGCAAACGGGACAGGUGGAGAGAACAAAAAUAAGGCCAUGGAGUCAGGCCAGAGCCUCAGAGUCCAGGAGGAAGGUCAGGGGGACGCAUGAUGACUGAUGACCGAGCAGAAUGAGGCAGUGGAUGGUGGAAAAAACCACAGCGACGGAAGCCACGGCCUCCGGGAGCACCCGGGUCGUGGCUAAAACGGACGCUGAACUCUGACACAGGCCCCUGCUGGGAGGUGUUGAACGCAAUCAAGGAAAGCAAAGCUGGAGGGGAAGGCACGGGAGAGUCGGGAUUCUGAGCCAGUGUCCGGGAAGGCCUCCCCCAGGGGACAUCUGUGCAAGGGUCUUCCGGAGUUGAGGGAGGAGGAAGGGGGGCCGGGAAGGCUGGGUUGGCUGGCUGCCCGCUAGCCUGCGCAGCUUCACCCCUGCGGACGGGAUGCCCGGCGCCUGGGGCCCGGCGCUGCCCAGGAACCCUGUACACGUGGAAUGGAAGAGACACGGGAAGUUCCUGUCCGCGCUCUUGCUUACUGAAUCCAGCAUAGUAAAGAGACCACCGUUGCGACGUGUCAUCAGUGGAGGGGAUUGUGGACUGUUCCCUCUCUGUGUUUCAUCUGAGUCUUUGAAGUCCAGCGUGUGCCUCCCAGGGCCUGCCCGCCGUCGGACCCUGACCUGACCGUGGAAUCCCAGAUCCGUACUGGGGCUCAGAACUGACAUGAGAGAAGUGGACUCACACCCAAGCUGUUGCAAGUAUAUCUAAACGUUUUCCAAUAAAAACAUGGACUUCCAGUUUUUAAAAA